rnacentral:rRNA from 1 species
GACGGAGGAUGCUAGCGUUGUUCGGAAUUACUGGGCGAAAAGCGUGCGCAGGCGGCCUGGUUAGUCGGAGGUGAAAUCCCGGGGCUCAACUCCGGAACUGCCUCCGAGACGGCUGGGCUUGAGCGAAGGAGAGGAGAGCGGAAUUCCCAGUGUAGAGGUGAAAUUCGUAGAUAUUGGGAAGAACACCGGUGGCGAAGGCGGCUCUCUGGCCUGUUGCUGACGCUCAGGCACGAAAGCGUGGGGAGCAAACAGG